AAUAUUGCACAAUGGAGGGAACUCUGAUGCCGCAACGCCGCGUGAGUGCAUAAUGUUUUCGGUUCGUAAAACUCUGUCAUUGGGGAAGAAUAAAUGACGGUUCCCAAUGACGAAACCCCGGCUAACUACGUGCCAGCAGCCGCGGGAAUACGUAGGGGGCAAGCGUUGUCCGGAAUUAUUGGGCGUAAAGGGUGCGUAGGCGGUCCUUUAAGUCAGAUGGGAAAGCCCACGGCUUAACCGUGGGACUGCAUCUGAAACUGGAGGGCUUGAGUGUCGGAGAGGGCAGUGGAAUUCCCAGUGUAGCGGUGGAAUGCGUAGAUAUUGGGAGGAACACCAGUGGCGAAGGCGACUACCUGGACGAAAACUGACGCUGAGGCACGAAAGCUAGGGGAGCAAACA
rnacentral:rRNA from 1 species